CGCUGAUAGGCAGUGUGCACCAGGCUUCCUGCUUCCUGUCUAAAGAGGGAUUAUCAGUUGAUUGGCAAAUGCCUAUGGAAUGAGACGGUUGGUACCGAGGUGCGAGAGGCAGGGGCUCUCUAGCCAUCCCGUGUGUGCGGGGAAGCAACUCAACACCACAAUGCUUAUUACUCUUGGAGAGGUGAUGUCUUUAUAUCUCUUCCCUGCUGUGGAAUCCCAGGUCUGUGGUCAACAUGCCACACAAAUGAUGGCAAAGCUCAGUCUGCCCUGCAACAGCGUUGGGACGAGGCUUUAACCUGGAGUUGCCUACCAGCAUAACGGAAAAAAAGAUGGCUUCAGUAGACAGAAGAGAUGCGAGACCCACCAGUACUUUCUCUCUUCCCAUUCACUCAACCACUUUCACAAUGCCUGCCACUCUGUAUUCCAUACUUCGACUCUCUGCCAUGAAUGACCCCCAAAGCCCAUGUGCUGGAGACUUGAUCCUCAGCCUACUGAGAUGCUACUGAACAGUGAUGUGACUUUAAGAGUCUGAGCUGGGCUGGAGAGAUGGCUCAGCAGUUAAGAGCACUGACUGCUCUUCCAGAGGUCCUGAGUUCAAA